UUCGUUGCCUUGAGCAGAGCUGCAGCUGCACAGUCUUUGCCUGGCACACUGACUCAAGUUGCUAACACCAUCUCCUCUCUGUGCACCAAGUAUGCCUAUAUCUAGGCAGGAGUUUUCUCUGUGCUGUGUGGGAGCUGGAUAGGCUGUACAUCAAGACAUAUUUUAAUUUCUUGUUUUAAUUUGUUUGAUCUCUUGGAAAUCUGCAUGCAAGGGACAGCUCUCUGAACAGUCAAUUUACAGAAAUUGUUUACCUGUGUGGGCUGAAGGCCCAAGCCAGGCAGGUAUUCGAACUUUGACUUAGGCGUGGCUUUCAGGGACACAAACAGAGUACAUGUCUCAUUUUCAAGAGGAGGAUGGCUGAAAAAAACCAAAAUGUGUGCAGGGGCUUUGAGUCAUAUCCCGGAGGUACCAUACCAGGUGAGUGAUCCACUUUUGUUUCAGAGGCAGAACUGACACUUCCCAUUUGUAGAGCCCAGGGCACUUCUGGACAAUUGUGCAAAGUGUGUUUUCUAUGCCUCAACUUAGUUUGGAGACUUUCAUUCCUAGGUCUCAUAGCUUUCCACAGCUCUAGCUAUGGAAUAAUUUCUAAAUUGCUGCUUCUGGAGAGCAAGGAGAGGGAUUAGGAUGGAUUAAGAUGACUUCUGAGUAGUGGCAGAAAGUGGCAGCAGUGGCCUAGGUUUGAGAAGCAGAGGGGGGCAGCUUCCUCAUGCAAAGCAGCAUGUGCCUCUUAUUUUGAGGUCUGAAAGACAAGAAAGUUAUUUAUCAUGUUUCUUCUGCCCUUUAGACACUUCUACUUCUCUGGUUGUUGUCACCAAUUGUCUGCACUGUGAAUGGCAGUUUUAAACAGCUGUGCAAUCGCAUUAUAUUGGUUAGGGGUACCUCUGCCACAGAGCCUCAGGACAACACAUAUGCUCCUAUUAGUGUCAGGAUCCUGCUCUGGCUCUUAAUCAUCAGGCUCCACUGAUUACAGAGGUCUUUCACAGCAACCUCUUUGUCUUUUAAGUUUUUGUGUCACACUUUCCUGCCUGGGUCUUUCUGCUUUUCUUGCAGGACCUACAGGACAGAUGGAGGGUGCUUUGUUGCACCUGAAGUCAGAAAAUGCCUCAUAGCCCUUGCCAGAUGAGCAAAGCCCAGUUAAUUAUUGCCAGGUAAGAAAAGGGAACAGUGUGGAUGCAAGAGCAGCCAGAGAGCACCCUGCUGUGGCUGAGGGGUCUCAGCUGGAAGGAGUGAGGAUGGGAGAGCAAGGCUGGCUUCACCUGCCACCUGCAGCUGUGCAGAACUCCUGCAAAGGCUGCCUGAAUCCUGUGCAUGACCUCCUGAUCUACCUGUGAUGUCCUAAAUUUUGUACCACUUUGGGCAAACAUACAACACUGAACCCAGCUUUCAUCCCUACCCAGCCUACUGGUUUUGAGUCUGAUCAUCACAAAUGUGAGAGCAGAUGCCAACACAAGUCGUUUAUCCAGCUGGGAGUGUGCAAGGUAAGAGGACAAGUUGCAAUCAGUGAGAACUCACUACUGCUUCAGGGAAAGAGGUGUUCUUACCAGUGAAUAAUGCAGCAGUCACUGACAGUUCCUUUUGGAAGAGAGUGCAAUUCUGUGCCCUGAACU